rnacentral:rRNA from 1 species
GACGUAGGGGGCGAGCGUUGUCCGGAGUCACUGGGCGUAAAGGGCGCGCAGGCGGUCGCGUGGGCCAUCGCGUGAAAGCCCCGGCCUCAACCGGGCGGUGGCGGGUGGGACCGCGCGGCUGGAGGGUGGUAGGGGCCGGUGGAAUUCCCGGUGUAGUGGUGAAAUGCGUAGAUACCGGGAGGAACACCCGCAGCGAAGGCGGCCGGCUGGGCCAACCCUGACGCUGAGGCGCGAAGGCUCGGGGAGCGAACGGG